rnacentral:rRNA from 1 species
UACGUAGGGUGCGAGCGUUGUCCGGAAUUACUGGGCGUAAAGAGCUCGUAGGUGGUUUGUCGCGUUGUUCGUGAAAACUCACAGCUCAACUGUGGGCGUGCGGGCGAUACGGGCAGACUGGAGUACUGCAGGGGAGACUGGAAUUCCUGGCGUAGCGGUGGAAUGCGCAGAUAUCAGGAGGAACACCGGUGGCGAAGGCGGGUCUCUGGGCCGUAACUGACGCUGAGGAGCGAAAGCAUGGGGAGCGAACAGG